UCUUUUUCUCUUUUUUCCUUUUUUUUCUUUUUCUUUUUUUCUCUUUUUUCCUUUUUCUUUUUUCUUCUCUCUUUUUUUCUGCUGGGCUGCUGGGCUGUUGCAGGGACUGGGCUGCUGCCGAAUCUGGGCCUGCCAAGGCUUGCUGCAGAUGGCCUGCUGGGCCUGCGCUAAUUGGGCCUGCUGUUGGAUCUAUUGGGCCUGCUGGAUUGGGCUGCUUGGCCUGUUUUUUUCUGCUCCUUCUUUUUCUUUCUUUCUGGGCUGCCCUCUGAAGUGGGCUGGCCUACUGCUGCUGGGUCGGGUGCAGGUCGAUCACGGGUCAGAGUCGGGUCGGGUCGGAUCGGUUUAACCCGACUGUUAAAAGAAUAUUUUUUUCUUUCCUUUUUUUCUUUUUUCUUCUUUUCUUUCCUUUUCUUUUUUCUUCUUUCUUUCUUUCUUUAUUUCUUCUUCCCUUUUUCUUCCUUCUCCGUUCAACAGUAGCCCCUUGUAUUGCCAACGAUGUUCCCUCCGCCUGGUGCGACGGCUGACGGCAGCGUGCGGAGGAGCUCUCCUCUCUUUUCUUCUUUUUUCUUCUUUACUCUUUCUUUUUUCCUCGUUUGCUUGCUUUUUUUCUUUUUUUGCCUCUUGGUUGUUUUGCUGGGUAUCGGGACGGUGAUGUUGCGGUGGCGGGUGUGGUGGCACGGGCACAAUGGCGGCGGUGGGCCUUUUUUGCUGCUGUUUUUACUUUUUUUCUGCUCAAUAUUUUUGUUUUUUUUCUUGGUUUUGCUUCUUGCUUUUUGCUCCCCAAAUUGGGGGUUUGAAAACCCUUUUAAAUUGUUGAUUUCUCUUCCUUUUUACAGUUAGCAGGUGGCUGGGGGAGAGGGAGGCCAUGCUUUAGGUCGGCUACUGCAGAGUAGGUGCGCA
rnacentral:lncRNA from 1 species